AUUGAACGCUGGCGGUAUGCCUAACACAUGCAAGUCGAACGGCAGCACAGUAAGUUCUUGCUCUUACGGGGUGCGAGUGGCGUGCGGGUUAGGUAUACACCGGACUCUACGUUUUCGUUGGGGCUAACGUAGCGGGACUUAUACUACUACCGCAUAACGCCUGCGGGUGAAGGCCGGGGAUCUUCGGACCUUGCGCGAUUGAAUGAGCCGAUGUCGGAUUAGGUAGGUGGCGGGGUAAAGGCCCACCAAGGCGAAGAUCCGUAGCUGGUUUGCGAGGAUGAACAGCCCAAAUGGAACGUAGACACGGGCCAGACUCCUAAGGGAGGCAGCAGUGGGGAAUAUUGGACAAUGGGCGCAAGCCUGAUCCCGCCAUACCGGGUGGGGGAAGAAGGCCUUCGGGUUUUAAAGCCCUUUUGUUGGGGAAGAAAAGCAGCAGGUUAAUAACCCGCUGUGCUGAAGGUAACCGAAGAAUAAGCCACGGCUAACUUCGUG
rnacentral:rRNA from 1 species